rnacentral:rRNA from 1 species
GACGUAGGGCGCGAGCGUUGUCCGGCUUUAUUGGGCGUAAAGAGCUCGUAGGCGGCUUGUCGCGUCGUCCGUGAAAACCCUGGGCUUAACCCUGGGCUUGCAGUGGAUACGGGCAGACUAGAGGCAGGUAGGGGAGAAUGGAAUUCCCGGUGUAGCGGUGAAAUGCGCAGAUAUCGGGAGGAACACCGGUGGCGAAGGCGGCAUCCUGGACCGACACUGACGCUGAGGAGCGAAAGCCAGGGGAGCAAACGGG